rnacentral:rRNA from 1 species
CCUACGGGCGGCAGCAGUGAGGAAUAUUGGUCAAUGGACGCAAGUCUGAACCAGCCAUGCCGCGUGCAGGAAGACGGCUCUAUGAGUUGUAAACUUCUUUUGUACGAGAGUAAACGCAGAUACGCGUAUCUGUCUGAAAGUAUCGUACGAAUAAGGAUCGGCUAACUCCGUGCCAGCAGCCGCGGUAAUACGGAGGAUUCAAGCGUUAUCCGGAUUUAUUGGGUUUAAAGGGUGCGUAGGCGGUCGGUUAAGUUAGUGGUGAAAUCCCGAGGCUCAACUUCGGAAUUGCAUUUGAUACUGGUAGUCUAGAGUGUAGUAGCGGUAGGCGGAAUGUAUGGUGUAGCGGUGAAAUGCUUAGAGAUCAUACAGAACACCGAUUGCGAAGGCAGCUUACCAAUCUAUAUCUGACGUUGAGGCACGAAAGCGUGGGGAGCAAACAGGAUUAGAUACCCGAGUAGUC